AAAAUGUUGUUUUCCUGAUAUGGCGAUCACCAUUAAGCAUAUAGGGAACGUCAUUUGCCUAAAUUGCUGGAAUUUUUAUUUGAAGGUAAUGGCGAACGCCAUUAGCAUAAUGGCGAACACCAUUAACCUAAAAUACAAAAAAUUUCUAGCUUUUUCUUAAGAUUACUGCAGGUAAGUGCUCCUAAGGCCAUAUAAUAGUAAAUGAAAUAAUUAAAACUAGUAGCAUAAUUAAG
rnacentral:lncRNA from 1 species